UACGUAGGGCGCAAGCGUUGUCCGGAAUUAUUGGGCGUAAAGAGCUCGUAGGCGGCUUGUCGCGUCGGAUGUGAAAGCCCGGGGCUUAACUCCGGGUCUGCAUUCGAUACGGGCAGGCUAGAGUUCGGUAGGGGAGUCUGGAAUUCCUGGUGUAGCGGUGAAAUGCGCAGAUAUCAGGAGGAACACCGGUGGCGAAGGCGGGACUCUGGGCCGAUACUGACGCUGAGGAGCGAAAGCGUGGGGAGCGAACAGG
rnacentral:rRNA from 1 species